AUUGAACGCUGGCGGCAGGCCUAACACAUGCAAGUCGAGCGGAUGAAGAGAGCUUGCUCUCUGAUUUAGCGGCGGACGGGUGAGUAAUGCCUAGGAAUCUGCCUGGUAGUGGGGGAUAACGUUCCGAAAGGAACGCUAAUACCGCAUACGUCCUACGGGAGAAAGCAGGGGACCUUCAGGCCUUGCGCUAUCAGAUGAGCCUAGGUCGGAUUAGCUAGUUGGUGAGGUAAUGGCUCACCAAGGCUACGAUCCGUAACUGGUCUGAGAGGAUGAUCAGUCACACUGGAACUGAGACACGGUCCAGACUCCUACGGGAGGCAGCAGUGGGGAAUAUUGGACAAUGGGCGAAAGCCUGAUCCAGCCAUGCCGCGUGUGUGAAGAAGGUCUUCGGAUUGUAAAGCACUUUAAGUUGGGAGGAAGGGCAGUAAGUUAAUACCUUGCUGUUUUGACGUUACCGACAGAAUAAGCACCGGCUAACUUCGUGCCAGCCGCCGCGGUAACAC
rnacentral:rRNA from 1 species